UAAGGGAUAUUGCACAAUGGGGGAAACCCUGAUGCAGCAACGCCGCGUGGGUGAAGAAGGCCUUCGGGUCGUAAAACCCUUUUCUAGGGGAAGAGGAAGGACAGUACCCUAGGAAUAAGUCUCGGCUAACUACGUGCCAGCAGCCGCGGUAAGACGUAGGAAGCGAGCGUUAUCCGGAUUUAUUGGCGUAAAGGGCAAGUAGGCGGUUGUCAAAGUUGGGCGUGACAGACCCUGGCUUAACUAGGGGAGGUCGUUCAAAACUAGGCAACUAGAGGGCAGAAGAGGGAAGCAGAACUCCUGAUGUAGCGGUGGAAUGCUCAGAUAUCAGGAAGAAUACCAGUGGCGAAGGCGGCUUUCUGGUCUGCACCUGACGCUGAGAGGCGAAGGCCAGGGGAGCGAACGG
rnacentral:rRNA from 1 species